UGUGUGUUAGUGGAAGCGUCUGGAAAGGCGCGCGAUACAGGGUGACAGCCCCGUACACAAAAAUGCACAUGCUGUGAGCUCGAUGAGUAGGGCGGGACACGUGGUAUCCUGUCUGAAUAUGGGGGGACCAUCCUCCAAGGCUAAAUACUCCUGACUGACCGAUAGUGAACCAGUACCGUGAGGGAAAGGCGAAAAGAACCCCGGCGAGGGGAGUGAAAAAGAACCUGAAACCGUGUACGUACAAGCAGUGGGAGCACGCUUAGGCGUGUGACUGCGUACCUUUUGUAUAAUGGGUCAGCGACUUAUAUUCUGUAGCAAGGUUAACCGAAUAGGGGAGCCGAAGGGAAACCGAGUCUUAACUGGGCGUUAAGUUGCAGGGUAUAGACCCGAAACCCGGUGAUCUAGCCAUGGGCAGGUUGAAGGUUGGGUAACACUAACUGGAGGACCGAACCGACUAAUGUUGAAAAAUUAGCGGAUGACUUGUGGCUGGGGGUGAAAGGCCAAUCAAACCGGGAGAUAGCUGGUUCUCCCCGAAAGCUAUUUAGGUAGCGCCUCGUGAAUUCAUCUCCGGGGGUAGAGCACUGUUUCGGCAAGGGGGUCAUCCCGACUUACCAACCCGAUGCAAACUGCGAAUACCGGAGAAUGUUAUCACGGGAGACACACGGCGGGUGCUAACGUCCGUCGUGAAGAGGGAAACAACCCAGACCGCCAGCUAAGGUCCCAAAGUCAUGGUUAAGUGGGAAACGAUGUGGGAAGGCCCAGACAGCCAGGAUGUUGGCUUAGAAGCAGCCAUCAUUUAAAGAAAGCGUAAUAGCUCACUGGUCGAGUCGGCCUGCGCGGAAGAUGUAACGGGGCUAAACCAUGCACCGAAGCUGCGGCAGCGACGCUGAUGCGUUGUUGGGUAGGGGAGCGUUCUGUAAGCCUGCGAAGGUGUGCUGUGAGGCAUGCUGGAGGUAUCAGAAGUGCGAAUGCUGACAUAAGUAACGAUAAAGCGGGUGAAAAGCCCGCUCGCCGGAAGACCAAGGGUUCCUGUCCAACGUUAAUCGGGGCAGGGUGAGUCGACCCCUAAGGCGAGGCCGAAAGGCGUAGUCGAUGGGAAACAGGUUAAUAUUCCUGUACUUGGUGUUACUGCGAAGGGGGGACGGAGAAGGCUAUGUUGGCCGGGCGACGGUUGUCCCGGUUUAAGCGUGUAGGCUGGUUUUCCAGGCAAAUCCGGAAAAUCAAGGCUGAGGCGUGAUGACGAGGCACUACGGUGCUGAAGCAACAAAUGCCCUGCUUCCAGGAAAAGCCUCUAAGCAUCAGGUAACAUCAAAUCGUACCCCAAACCGACACAGGUGGUCAGGUAGAGAAUACCAAGGCGCUUGAGAGAACUCGGGUGAAGGAACUAGGCAAAAUGGUGCCGUAACUUCGGGAGAAGGCACGCUGAUAUGUAGGUGAAGCGACUUGCUCGUGGAGCUGAAAUCAGUCGAAGAUACCAGCUGGCUGCAACUGUUUAUUAAAAACACAGCACUGUGCAAACACGAAAGUGGACGUAUACGGUGUGACGCCUGCCCGGUGCCGGAAGGUUAAUUGAUGGGGUUAGCGCAAGCGAAGCUCUUGAUCGAAGCCCCGGUAAACGGCGGCCGUAACUAUAACGGUCCUAAGGUAGCGAAAUUCCUUGUCGGGUAAGUUCCGACCUGCACGAAUGGCGUAAUGAUGGCCAGGCUGUCUCCACCCGAGACUCAGUGAAAUUGAACUCGCUGUGAAGAUGCAGUGUACCCGCGGCAAGACGGAAAGACCCCGUGAACCUUUACUAUAGCUUGACACUGAACAUUGAGCCUUGAUGUGUAGGAUAGGUGGGAGGCUUUGAAGUGUGGACGCCAGUCUGCAUGGAGCCGACCUUGAAAUACCACCCUUUAAUGUUUGAUGUUCUAACGUGGACCCGUAAUCCGGGUUGCGGACAGUGUCUGGUGGGUAGUUUGACUGGGGCGGUCUCCUCCUAAAGAGUAACGGAGGAGCACGAAGGUUGGCUAAUCCUGGUCGGACAUCAGGAGGUUAGUGCAAUGGCAUAAGCCAGCUUGACUGCGAGCGUGACGGCGCGAGCAGGUGCGAAAGCAGGUCAUAGUGAUCCGGUGGUUCUGAAUGGAAGGGCCAUCGCUCAACGGAUAAAAGGUACUCCGGGGAUAACAGGCUGAUACCGCCCAAGAGUUCAUAUCGACGGCGGUGUUUGGCACCUCGAUGUCGGCUCAUCACAUCCUGGGGCUGAAGUAGGUCCCAAGGGUAUGGCUGUUCGCCAUUUAAAGUGGUACGCGAGCUGGGUUUAGAACGUCGUGAGACAGUUCGGUCCCUAUCUGCCGUGGGCGCUGGAGAACUGAGGGGGGCUGCUCCUAGUACGAGAGGACCGGAGUGGACGCAUCACUGGUGUUCGGGUUGUCAUGCCAAUGGCACUGCCCGGUAGCUAAAUGCGGAAGAGAUAAGUGCUGAAAGCAUCUAAGCACGAAACUUGCCCCGAGAUGAGUUCUCCCUGACUCCUUGAGAGUCCUGAAGGAACGUUGAAGACGACGACGUUGAUAGGCCGGGUGUGUAAGCGCAGCGAUGCGUUGAGCUAACCGGUACUAAUGAACCGUGAG
rnacentral:rRNA from 1 species